UCCUCCUGCCUCGGCCUCCCUGAACGCUGGGAUUGCAGGUGUGUGCAACACCAUGCCUGUCCUUAUUUCGUAAAACUCACUUGAAACUUCAUUUCCAAGGCUCCUGACUCUGCCCCUUGAUUCUGGGGACAGCUCUGGUCCCAAGUAAACCUCCCCAAGGAAGAUGUUCAGAGAGACGCCCACCGGGGAUGAGCCCAGAUGUGGUCAUUUCAUCACAGAAAACCUCAGCUCGUGGCAGACCAUCUGGCCCAGUGACUUGCCGCCUGUCCCUGAGACAGCAGACUCAGGUGUGCCGUGUUGCUGCAAUGGCUGUGGAGAGAGUUCGCGUGGAUCUGGAGUCUUUGUGAACCCAACAUUUCCCAGUGAGUUUUCACUGUAGUUUCACUUGUGCCCCAGGAUCCUUGCUCUGCCCGGGGUUCCUCAUUUUACCCACUGAUUUAUCCAGAAAUUCAUGUCACUGCUGGCUGUCCCCUGAGCAGGUACUUAGCGCCUUUGGUAAACGGUGACUGCAUGUGCUGGGUGUGGGGCUGAGGCACUCUCCAGAUACGAAAGCUUUUGUCUCACACAGAAAGUAUUUUGUAAACUUGAUGA